UAACCAUGUGGCAAAGAAGACCCUCUUUGACUGACUGGAUACUUAGCAAGAACUGGAGUGUAUUCAAAAAGCUCAAGUCAAGCAGAACCUGCCCCUUUGCUUGGUUUAACUUUUUCUUGACUAGCAGCAUUCUGGUGAGAGAAGAGGGACUGUACUGUAAAGCGAUAAACCUAUCCUCUGACAUGCAGCAAUUCCUCUGGCCCGAGGCUGGCUACAGAUUCCCAGAGUGUCCUAGGGGUAUCCCUGAGAGAAUGCCACUAGCCAAGAAGUCAAACCAAAUGAAGUGACAGUCUGGUCAACUACUGCUUUUGAAAUGUACUCUGUUUCUGGCUAUGCAGCCAAUCAAAGAAGUGCCUCUUCUCUAUGUGGUUAGCCGGUCAGAACCAGUUACAGAAUGUCUGUGCAUGCUCCCAAGUCCAUCUGGGGGAUUGCAUCAGCCGAACACUCCACACUUGCUUAUGUGUGCUGAGCUCAUUGGCCAGUCUCCUAUUUUAUUCCUUCAACUCAAGAAACCCCUGUUUCAAUUGCUGCAGUGAGUAGCCCUAAUUUCCAUGCCUAGAUCUUUCCCAUCUCAAAAAUUCGUUUACUGAAAGGACAUCAGGAAGAAUCUGAAAACUUCACUGGGCCUGUAGCAUUGGAGGGCCUUGUGAGAUUUCAAACAGUUGGAAGAACUACCAGAUGUCCAGCAAUCAAAUCUGGAAAGGAACCAGGAGGCCUGAUGAAAGACCUACGUGACCCAUACCAGUAGUGGAUUGACCUGAAGAUAAGACAUGUCCUGAAAACAGGGGAUAACUCCAGUCAUUGACUAUUCCACAUUGAGGAACUUGGUGGGGUGAAUGUUUUAUCAGCAACCUGGUUAAGUUUGAAUCCAUUCUCUCAAGGGAUUGAAGUGGUAGAGGGAAGAGUGUACCAUUGGGUUGAGGGAAUGUGUUUGUAUUUCUGUCCCUCCUACACCUUCUCAGUAAACUUCCCUUUGUAAAAGUUAA